rnacentral:rRNA from 1 species
GAUGAACGCUAGCGGUAUGCUUAACACAUGCAAGUCGUACGGGAGUUUUUAACUCAAGUGGCGGACGGGUGAGUAACACGUGAGAAUUUACCUUUAGGAGGGGAUAACAAUUGGAAACGAUUGCUAAUACCCCAUAUGCUUUUUUAAGUGAAACGGAUCUAUUCGCCUAAAGAAAAGCUCGCGGCUGAUUAGCUAGUUGGUAAGGUAAUGGCUUACCAAGGCGACGAUCAGUAUCUGGUUUGAGAGGAUGAUCAGACACACUGGAACUGAGACACGGUCCAGACUCCUACGGGAGGCAGCAGUGGGGAAUUUUCCGCAAUGGGCGAAAGCCUGACGGAGCAAUACCGCGUGAGGGAAGAAAGCCUAACUGGGUUGUAAACCUCUUUUUUCAGGGAGGAAAAAAAUGACGUGUACCUGAAGAAUAAGACAAUCGGCUAACUACCGUGCCAGC